CCUACGGGAGGCAGCAGUGGGGGAUAUUGGACAAUGGGGGGGAACCCUGAUCCAGCGACGCCGCGUGAGUGAAGAAGUAUUUCGGUAUGUAAAGCUCUGUCAUCAGGGAAGAAAGCAAUGACGGUACCUGACCAAGAAGCCCCGGCUAACUACGUGCCAGCAGCCGCGGGAAUACGUAGGGGGCAAGCGUUAUCCGGAAUUACUGGGUGUAAAGGGAGCGUAGACGGCUGUGCAAGUCUGGAGUGAAAGGCGGGGGCCCAACCCCCGGACUGCUCUGGAAACUGUAUGGCUGGAGUGCAGGAGAGGUAAGCGGAAUUCCUAGUGUAGCGGUGAAAUGCGUAGAUAUUAGGAGGAACACCAGUGGCGAAGGCGGCUUACUGGACUGUAACUGACGUUGAGGCUCGAAAGCGUGGGGAGCAAACAGGAUUAGAUACCCCUGUAGUC
rnacentral:rRNA from 1 species